CUGAAGCAAAAAGAGACCCAGAGAACUUCAGAAAUGGAGCAAAGAGCAAGGGGUUUUAUAUUUAUAAAGGCACCAGAAUUUCAGACACAUCAGAACAUGGAACAUCUCGAGUCCUGAAAGACAGGUUGUCACUCACCUUCCAGGUGUGAAGGGCACGUGGACAGCUCCAUAACCUCUGACCACGUCGUGUCCGAAGAAGUCAGGCCCGUAAACACUCAGCACAAUCUGUGGCCCUGCAAGGAAAGAGGUGUGAGAGGAGGGGCUGCUCUGGGGGCUGGAAAUCCCCCCCCAGCACUCACAGCCAAAAGGGUUGGUGCUCUUGAAGGUGAUGUCGAUGGGGAAGUUCCACACGAGCGUGGUGGGUGAGACGUCGCUCUUGGAGGGACCACAACGCGACGGGGCUGGGCUGGUGACACGACGGUGUUGGCUUGGUGAUGUGACAGUGCUGGCCCUUUGGGACCGUGGUCGUGCCACUGCUCCUGCCAGGAAUCUUUGCUGCCCACGCUCACGUCAGCGCCACUGAGACUCACCAGCCCGGCCACCAUCUGCCACGGUUCAUCCCUUCGCCUCCUUUCUCCAUCCCACACCACUGUGCUGUGCCCAGGUUGGAUCCCAGCUCCAGAAGAACCAUUCCUGGUGUCCCUUUAGCACUGACUCCCCCGCCAAAGGCAUGUCAAGAAGCUGAGGGAUUUAUGUUUUCUUCAUUCCCAGAAAGAGCCAGGGGUUGGAAAAAAUCCAAACUACUUGGAGCUCUGUCACUGAGAGCUUCUGAAUCAAGCUCUGUACCAUGAGCUGAACAGGCUGCCUGGCUCUGGGUCCAUUGGCUCCCAGAGAACUCUUGGAGUGUCCGUGUGCCCUCGAUUUCCUAGGGAUUGCCUCCACACUUGUGUGAGUGGGAAUUGAGCCCUGGAGAAUGAGAGAGCAACGAGGGGCUCCCCUUCUCCUGGGAAAAGCUGCCAGGCAGCUGUGACAGGGAUACCUGGGGGCUGGAUCUCCUGCCGUGCCCAUCGCCCAUCACCCUGGCUCUGGGCUCUUGCAGUGCAGCAGCAGCAGCAGCAGAUCCCUGUGCUGCUGCCUGGGAAAGGGAGUGGAUGGACAUCCAGUGCUGCUGGGAGGUAGCAGGAAGCAGGUACUUUGUCUCUCUUACCUGUUCAACUCUGAUUACAGCAGCCUCGGGGCUGAUCCAUCGCUGCCAACAGGAGCUCGGGGAAGGUGGGAGAGACACAAACAAAAAUACAGUGGCACGGCAAACAGAAGUUUAUUUUUAAUCCCAAAUAUUUAUGAUCAACACCUGCUAAAUGGCCAGUGAAAUACAUUUUAUGGCAUCAUUUAUCUGCAAU